GUAGGUGGCAAGCGUUGUCCGGAAUUAUUGGGCGUAAAGCGCGCGCAGGCGGUUCUUUAAGUCUGAUGUGAAAGCCCACGGCUCAACCGUGGAGGGUCAUUGGAAACUGGAGAACUUGAGUACAGGAGAGGAAAGCGGAAUUCCACGUGUAGCGGUGGAAUGCGUAGAGAUGUGGAGGAACACCAGUGGCGAAGGCGGCUUUCUGGUCUGUAACUGACGCUGAGGCGCGAAAGCGUGGGGAGCAAACAGGAUUAGAUACCCUGGUAGUCCACGCCGUAAACGAUGAGUGCUAAGUGUUAGGGGGUUUCCGCCCCCCUUAGUGCUGCAGCUAACGCAUUAAGCACUCCGCCUGGGAGUACGGCCGCAAGGCUG
rnacentral:rRNA from 1 species